AUGCAGCGGCUUCAGCUUCGCCAGGUCGUCUGCCCCGGAUGGCCCGCCCGGGGCCGCCGGUGGCCUCGAGGACGACGCCCAGGCAGGCGGCGGAGGCGGCCCUCCCUUCUUGCCUCCGGGUGGUGGUGGUGGCGGCGGCCCUCCCUUCUUUCCUCCGGGAGGCGGUGGCGGAGGUGGGCCUCUGGGCGCUGCUGGCGGCGGUGGGCCUUUGGGUGCUGGUGGAGGAGGUGGGCCCUUAGGCGCUGGUGGCGGCGGUGGGCCUUUAGGAGCUUGUGGUGGCGACGUGGUGGCCAUUGGUGGCGGCGGUGGUGGCGGGCUUCCUCUUCCUGGCGGCCGCGCCAGCGAUGCCGAUGCGCUUGGUGGGGCGGCAGGGGCUGGUGGCGGGGACGGGCGGGGGACAGAGCUGACAGCGAUCGCCGCCGCCGCCGGCCGCGCGUAGGCCUCGGGGGCAGCGACGGAGAAGGACGAGCUGGAGCUGGCGCUGGGCGGGCGCGGCGACUCGUCGAACACGGCGGAGGAGGAGUCCAGGGAGCCCCUGGGAAUGAGCGGUUCCUGAUCUAUCUUGCCCUUCCUCGGCCGCGGCGGGGACGGGCCCGGCGACGCCUGCGCCUCCGGCCACCUCUCCGCGCGGCUCUGCCGGGGCGGCGGCUGCGGCGGGCGCCAGCCCCCCGCGGGCUUCCUGCCCCUGCCGCCGCCCUCGCCCUCCUUCUCGAACUCCCGCCAGUAUAUCGCGUCGAGCCCGUUCUCGUCCACCAUGCCGCCGCGGGGCGGCCGCUUCGGCGCCCUCUCCGGCAGCUUGCCGGCGAGCGCGGCGUCCUGGCGCCCGUUCCCGCCGGCGGCGUGCGUCAGCUCCUUCUUCUUGCCGUGGCGGAGGAAGAGGAAGAAGGCGAGGCCGCAGAGCGCGAAGCUGCUCAGCGCCGUGCUCACCACGGCCACGGCGAUGUCGCUGCGCUUCGUGGAGGAGGACGACGAGGAGGCGGACUGCGGGGGCAGGAUGGCCGGGCCGGUGGGGGACGGCGACGGGGGCACGAUCGGCGGCGGCGGGACGGCGACUGCGGGGGUGCGCGUGGAGGGGAAGCGGGUCUGGACGUUGCGCUGCUGCCCGGCGGCGAGGGGGCAGACGACGGCGGCGGCGAGGAGGAGGAGGAGGGGGAGGAGAGGGGACGGAGCCAUCGCCGUGGCCAGGGGCGGGGAAAUGGAAACGCGACGGACGGAGGUGAGGGACGGAGGUGA
rnacentral:rRNA from 1 species